rnacentral:misc_RNA from 1 species
AACACUGUUAACCUGCGGUACCUGCGGAAGGAUCAUUACUGUGAUUUACUACUACACUGCGUGAGCGGAACGAAAACAACAACACCUAAAAUGUGGAAUAUAGCAUAUAGUCGACAAGAGAAAUCUACGAAAGAACAAACAAAACUUUCAACAACGGAUCU